rnacentral:rRNA from 1 species
AGUGAACGCUGGCGGUAGGCCUAACACAUGCAAGUCGAACGGCAGCACAGUAAGAGCUUGCUCUUACGGGUGGCGAGUGGCGGACGGGUGAGGAAUACAUCGGAAUCUACUUUUUCGUGGGGGAUAACGUAGGGAAACUUACGCUAAUACCGCAUACGACCUACGGGUGAAAGCAGGGGAUCUUCGGACCUUGCGCGAUUGAAUGAGCCGAUGUCGGAUUAGCUAGUUGGCGGGGUAAAGGCCCACCAAGGCGACGAUCCGUAGCUGGUCUGAGAGGAUGACCAGCCACACGGGAACUGAGAACCGGUCCAGAUCCCACGGGGGGGCAGCAGGGGGGAAUUUGGGACAAUGGGCGAAAGCCUGACCCAGCCAUCCCGGGGGGGGGAAGAAGGCCUUCGGGUUGUAAAGCCUUUUUGUUGGGAAAGAAAAGAAGCAGGUUAAACCCCCGCUGUUCGGACGGUACCCAAAAAAUAAGCACCGGCAAACUUCGU